GGAUGUGAGGGCAAACUGGCUGUGACAUCAUUAAUUAUACUCACCACCAGGCUUGAUCUGGCUGGUCUGGCUGACUAGAGAGAUGUUCCAUUCCUCCCCCACUGUUUCAUGUGCAUUCCUCAUGAUGCUGUACACUCAGUGGNCAAGGACCACAUUCCCCAAACAGAGGAGGACCCUCCCAGAAUUGAGGAGCACCCCCAUCUUCAUUAAAGGUAUAGGAGAGGUAGUGAUCCCGUUAGAACCUCCAAACAAGUUCUCAAUAAAUAGAUUUGUAAGACAUCUGGUAUAUUGUAGACUUUUAGUUAGGAGCAGUAUAUUGCUAACU
rnacentral:snRNA from 1 species